GCACAGUGGCUCAUUGUGUUAGAGCAUAGUACUAGAAACUCCAAGGUUGUGGGUUCAAACCCCACCCACA
rnacentral:tRNA from 1 species